rnacentral:lncRNA from 1 species
UGCUUUAACAUUUCAGAUAAUGGUGAGGCAAUCCGUGUGUUGGCCACAAAGAUGGAGAGUAUAGCACAUGUCCCAGUACAAACAUGGGAAGGAUGGGAUAUGGGAUGGCUCACCAAUUGGUUACCUAAUGUCACAGGACUCAAAGGGAUACUAUUGUCUUGCUUGUUUUUCUUGACAGUAGUGGUAAUGGUUUUAUGUAUGGUGCCAUGUAUCAUCUCAUGUUUUAAGAUCAAGCUAUCAAGGACGCUUGGUAGCAAGGUCCUUGAGCUUGAAAGGGGGGAAUGUGGCAUCUGAAUAUAGACUGCAUUUUUAAUCAAGGCUUAUAUUUUGAUCAGAUACCUGUAUUCUUAAAAUGAGCUUAAAAUAUAUUUUAAAAUAUCUGUAUCUCUCAUGCCAGGCAGUGAGUGCAUCGGCAGAUGUGCUCAUCUUAAAGAGGGCCCCUUUGGUUUAUUGGUUUAUUGCGGUCAUAAAAAGGCUGAGAAGCAGGUCACUGACCUUGCAUGCUGUAGAGUACAACUAAGUUGUAAAGUGGUAGGUAAACAGUAAAAUAAAACCAUGUGCCUUAAACUUGAGCCACAGGACAAAAGGCCAAGAGCACAUGGAAAACAAAGCAACUGGCUGGAGAAGGGGGGGUGUAAACUGAAGAGGCUUCUUUUAAAGCGGUUUUUUACUGUGUUCCUUUUUUACUGAGUUCCUUUUUCUACUAAGAGGCUACCUGUGUUGUGUUAAGUGUAUUGGCAUAAAUGUAAUUAUGCAAAGGAUUUAACAAAUGCUAGAUUCUUAUUUCAUAUAGUUGUAAGAGUUGUAUUUAAGUCAGCCCCCUGCCAGACAAGAAGACGCCAUCCGAGCAGUCCUGAUAUAUAUGGUGGUCAGACAUUUGUUUGGAAACCUUCAAAUGAAGGAGAUCUUUCAAUGUUGAUGUGAAACUCAAGAUCCUUGACAUAUGUUUAAGAUAAAAAUUUAAGAUUAACCAUUUGUUUUAGAAGGCAGUAGGGCAAGGAGGGCAAGAGGUGAGCUGGUAAUUAAGAUUCCUUGUUGAGACACAUGUAAGAUAUAUUAAUACUUAUUUGUCAUUUAUAGAUGUAACAAUAUAUAGCUCUUUGUGUUCCAUAUAAGGACAGGAGGAUAUGGGUAUAUCUUUUUGUGAUUGGUCAUACCAAUCAGCCAAUAGGAAUUUCAACCAGGCUGAUGGGACAGAGGCAGCCACAGGAGGAGCAAAGGGGGCUGGAUUAAGGGAAUAUAAGUGCUGGCCAUAAUGGCAGGAGAGCAGGCCAGAGCUUGGUAACCAUAUACCACUGUGCCUCUCAUUUAUUUGUCUGACAAAUAAAUAAUUAUUUAAUUUCUCUGUUGCUGCGUUGAAUAUUUCAUUCCAGCUAAGCGUUAACCACAAGCAGGGUGCUACACUGCUGCAUUUCAAGUACAAUUUUAUGUUGCUGUACACACAAGAGAGGGAGAGGGGUACACAUUAGUUGUUUGGUU